rnacentral:lncRNA from 1 species
AUGUAUGUGUAUGUAUGUGUGUGUUUGUCUGUGUGUGUCUUGUUUGUGUUUGUGUGUGGGUUUGUAUAUAUGUUUGCAUAUGUGUGUAUGUACAUGUGUGUAUCUUUCUGUGUGUGUCUGUAUGUGUCUGUCUUUGUGUUAGUGUGUGGGUUCUUAUGUAUGUGUGUGUAUGUAUGUAUGUAUGUAUGUAUGUCGUGGGUGUGUGGGUGUGUAUGUAUGAGUAUGUAUGUGUGUGUGACUUUCUGUGUCUGUGUCUUACUGUGUGUGUGGGUUUGUAUUUAUGUAUGUAUGUAUGUGUGUGUGUGUGUGUGUGUGUGUGUGGCAGCAGGACAUCUUCCCCUCGUGAAGCUCAAGCUCACGGCGAAAAUGCAUGACCAUGAGAUCAGGCUCUGCCUUCCAGGGUGCAUUUUCCAAAAUUCCUUUGGGAGACCCAGGCAAAGAGGAGAGACCCCGAGAGGGCUGCUGUCUACCGGCUCGCUCCCGAAAUGCAUGCAGUGGCUGCUGGAGCAAAGCCGGCAUCAGGAUGGCCAAUGGAUUGUUUCUGAAAGCAAACCAAAGCCCUUUGUUCCUGUUCCCUCUGCAGCGCCCAGGUGUGCUCGCCGCAGCCGCACGGCCUUUACCCCCGACCAGUUGGGGAUGUUGAAAGCUGUUUUCGAAACGACCCCCUGUCCUGACUGGGAGAAGAUACAAGAGUUAGCGGCAAAGCUAUGUUUGGAUGAGUGUGUGAUCAAGACCUGGUUUAAAAAUCAGCGCGCCCAGCAAAGAAAACUGCAGCGAAAGGGCCAGCCCCGCCAGCCCGGCGAGUCCCCACCACCACCAGGUUCAGAGCUCAGCGCACCUUCGCAGGAAGAUCACGGCCCUGAGAGCUCCCAGGCGCAUGGCCCCGAGGCUGCCGAAGACCCGCUGCCCGCCGAUCUGCAAAAUAUCCAUCUGGACUCCUCAGCGCCCUGGGCUUCGUUGCCCCAUGACAUCGGGGAGCUGGUGCGCAUGUACGGCUUGUUCGAUGACGACGAGCCCGACGACUAG